GUUGGAGUUCACUCUCUUGUAGAGUUUUGCUUCUGAGAUGUGAUCUUCAGAGAUGGUUGCAUUUUCUGUGGGAAAUCUGCCUCUUUCUUAUGCAAGGCGAGAAAGGCAGUGGGAAGUGGCUUCUCACAUACUGUCCUUCUUCAGAGGCAUGCUCUAGACUUUAUGAGACUAGAAUGACAUUUAACCUAUUCUUCAAGCAAGCUUUACCACAGGAAGGUGAUGGCAGCCUGCAUGAGGCAGGAAGUUUCUGCUGUUGGGUUGGAGCCAUCAGCAUCAUCUGCUUCAAAAACUUCCAUGUAUAUGAUUUGGCCCUAAGCAUCUAAAGAUGGAUUGACCUAUCAUGGGAACAAAUGAGACGUGAGAGAGAAUAAAAUCCAUGUGAGGAUGUUCUGCAUUCUCUAGAGUUCCAGCUGUUCAGCCCUCAAAUUCCCUCCUUGCUUGAGACUGAAAGCACCUGAAAAACAGUAUUUUAAUCUUGUCUGCACCUCAUGAGUUUCACUGAAUCAACUCAGAAAUCACCCUCCUCAAAAAGCACUUAGAGGUGACUGAAUCACUCUCCAGAAGGAAAUCCCCAUUGACUGCACAGAGGCUGUUCCACCCACAGACCUUUCACUUAGAUGGCAGAAGAGGGACUGACUGACAGAACGAUGUCUGACAUGGAAGUAUGUAUGAAGGAAAAAUUUGUUACUGAAUUCUUCUAUGCAGAAAAAAAUUGCACCCACUGUCAUCACCAAUGCUUGCUGAAUGUUUAUGGUGGCCAAACAGUGAAUGUGAGGAGUUUCCAUGAACAUAAAUAGGAAGAAUUGAUUCUAGAGUGACAUACAUAUAUGAAGCCCAAUACAAUUUCCAUUCAUUAAAUGUGGCCCAGGAAGCAGACUUCCUAUGAUGAGGUCCGUGAUAUCCUUUUCUCAUUAUCAGGGGAACAGAAAUUGUAAUUAUCUGAGCAUUGCUUCCUCUUCUUUUGCAAGCAGGCAAGGGUAUCAUUUUAUAUUUAUUCAUAUGCUGGUUAGUUCUGUCUCAGAUGGGCUUCCUAAGUAAAGCACUAAGUGGCUUCCUACAUGUUGUUGGGUGAAAUUCUACCUUUAUUUUUUUAAUAUUCUUGUAUGUUAAGAGCAAUAAAAAUUUCUGCCAAACAAUAGCCUGUUUUGAAGAUAAUGUUAUAACAGUUAAAUAAUUUUAAAGAAUUGCAUAUUAAAUGGCUUAGUAAAAAUCAUUAUAAAACAAACCACAGAGUAAGAAUUGCCUGUAUCUACUUAUUUGAAAAAUGAGAAGACAAGUUUUGUUUCUGUUGUGUUGAUCCCUUUGCUUUGAAUGAAUAAUUGGGUGUAUCUAUGAAUAAAUAUGUAGCCAACAUUAUGGAACAAGAUUUUUGGCACUUGUGAUUUACUGAAGAAUUUUUGAAGUUGCUUUAGCAGCUCCACCUCAGUCCUGUCCUGAGACCAUGUGAGAAGAGGACAGCUGUGUGAAAAACAACACCUUCAGUAAAAACUUCAUAAGUUCAUGACUGACAACAGGACUGAAGUUCACGGAUUAAUUCAGAAACUACUUCAAAACUUGCCCUCAAGAUACAGGAGAAGAGUGAAAUAGUUUGAGUUAACAUUUUCUGUUAUACUGCCUACAGAUGCCCUAAAGCAAUUUAAUAUGUUAAAAUGAGCCAGAAAUUGGAAGUUAAAGUGAAGACCAUGUACUAGCAGGCUGGUAGAUUUCUUUCUCUCUCAUUUUUGGCUAUUUUGAUAAGUAAAAUUGCUUAACUUAUUACACUUGUUACACAUGUGCUCUUUAUAACACUUUAAUAGGUAGAACAGAACAGAAGCAUACUAAUUCUCCAAAAUUUUCGUAUUUAAAUGGCACUCUGAUCUUAUUUAUACAUUUUUUAAAAAAAAAUCUUUCAUCAUAGAUUUAAAAUCCCCUCCUCUUGUUUAGAAUUAUUUCAUGAUUCAGGAAAAGAGUAUCACAUUGUUCUACCUUCACAAUCCUUACUUUUAUCACCAAGACAGAUUUGUUUCAUAAAAUAUCAUUCCUUUUUUAUGGACUGCUUUCAUAUUAACUAAUAUUAGCUAAUACUAACUGCUUCCUUUUCACAGAUCAGAAAUAGUUACAUUUUUGUUUUCAAACUGACAGAUGCUUUUCCCAAAACACAUUCAGAAAGCGAUGUUUGUUUUCCCUGUAAGAUAAGCCUCAUAUGUUGAAACAAAAUAGAUAUUCUCAUAGUUUCCCAGCUUGUUACUAGCUUCUCUAAUCUGUCCUUUUUUUUUUUUUCUAAUCUUCAUUAAACUGAUAAAAGUUUUGAAAACCAGGUGCUAUAUUAAUUGUCAGUUGACUCUAUGAUCUAAUUCUUCUUACUAAACAAAACCCAAAAAACCUAUGUUGUUGUUAAUUUAUUUGUAGGAAACAUGGGAUUUGAUGGUGUGAACCACUGAAGGGGAAAGGUCGAAUAGUCUCCUUACUGAAGGACUGUUUCAACUUGAUAGUCCUAGUAAAGAGUUUAUAUCAGAAAUCUUGUUGUUCUGUUUACACUGUAUGAAGCCAUGGACUAGCUUAGUGGUUUGUUUGUGGUAGUCAGCUCUUUGGACAGAAAUUCAUGUACAAAAUCUUUUUCUUUUAACUUGAAGAAAAGUAGCAAAUGAAGAAUUAGAGACUACAGAUUACUGAAGUUAAUACUUGGAGAUUUUACCUGAUCUGUUUUUAUCCAGCUCAAUGUAUAUGUUUUUAAAUAUGAAUGGAAGAAUAAGCUUGUAUUCUUUACUCCAUUUUCUGCUUGUACUGAAAAUUAGUUUCAUGAGUGAUCUUAAUAACCAUUAUAGAUUGUAGGAUUAGAAAUAAUGAAGGAAAAUUCUGUUUUUAGUAGCUCUAAUAUAUGCAUUUUCAGUUUAGCAAAGCACUACAUAGGCCUAAAAAAGUUAUCUCUUAUUUGAAAAACAUUUUCCAAAAAAACCCUCUAUAGUGUUUUCAGAUUAUUUAGUUGCAUUUGUAUAUUAUGCUCUUACUGCUCACUUACUGUUAUUUCAAUCCUAAUUCAUUAAAAACACCUGGAGUAAAAUCCAAUAUAGCAGAAACAGCACUCAAGGAAUAACUUAUUUACUCGCUUAUGACUGGAGUACAGUUUUUGAAUUCUCAACAGGUGAAAUCACUAUCCUUGGCAGGUAUGUUGAUGACCUUACAUAAAGUGUGCUUUGAGCAGUGCUAGGCUGUCUUUCAUGUGUGCCUACAGCUGAAACUAUCCCUGUAGGUAUGCUUCAGUCACUGCCUUCUCUGUCAAACAGAGCCCAAGGCUCACUCAGUAGCUACAGGAAAUGUUACAUAUAGAUGAAUUUCCAGAGAGUUCAGGAAAAUGCACUGUGACUUAUGUUUGCUGGAUACUAAAGUUUCUACGACACGCAAAACAAAAAGUGCAACUAUGGAUUUAACAGUGAAAAUUCACUCUGGCUCUUUA